GUUACAUGAAGAAACAAAAGUCAUGUCGAGACCUGUGUUUAAUCAGCUUGAGUGGCUAAAGAGAAAAGUCAAAGGCAGUGAAGAGCAAAGUUUAUUGAAGACCACUUGACCUAAAGAAGAGCACAGAGAAGGCAAAAAAAGAAACAACCGAUUCUCUCUGAGAGGUCCAUCUGUAUGAGCCUUCAAACCGCAAACACAUCCUUGCUAGGAUGCACGUGCACAAGCCCCAGGGUACAACAGUCCUUUGGCUACAUUAGCAGUGCUCAGCAGAACUGAAGCUGUGGGGAAGCUCAGCACUUUCCUGAAAAUGUUCGUUAGCUACCAGAAAAGAAGAUGGAAUCUUCAACACAGCCUUUCUCUUUUCAUUCAGCAUCAUCCACUGCAAAACUCAACCAUGGCUAAUAAUGCACGUCCCCUCUCUGAUGAUAUAACUUGUAAUCUGGAAUCUUCUGAAAGAUUUUCCUAAGUGGACUGGAAUAUGGCAAUGAAGGGAAGAUACUUUCUCAGAGCAACAAACUCAGCAACUUCGCAUUUUUUCCUGCACUGUAGAUUAAGAGAACUGGAGCAAGAAGUUGGACUCAGUGAUCCUCGUGGAUCUCUUCCAAUUCAGGAUAUUUUAUUGUUCUAUGAUCUAGUUCUACUAUGUGAUCAUAAUGCAACAUCACCUUGUCAUGGUCAGUCCAACCUAUCAUUGCCAAGCUGCUGCUUUACCUCUCCCUUUGACCAAUUCUAUUUUUAUUUUAUACUUGCACUCAUUCCUUUCUUAAUUCACUAUUUCUAAUGUAGCAUUAUAUGUGAUGCAUUUAAACUCAAAUAAAGAAAGUCUUAAAAAUAUGGGAAAGAGGCUUACACUGAUUUACAUUUUGAAUCAUAACAAACAAAUAAGCUUACUCUAGAUCAUGCAUGUUCUCACUGCACUGAACAUCUUUCCUUGUU